UUCCUACGGGGCGCAGCAGUGAGGAAUAUUGGUCAAUGGGCGGGAGCCUGAACCAGCCAAGUCGCGUGAGGGAAGACGGUCCUAUGGAUUGUAAACCUCUUUUGUCGGGGAGCAAAGAGACCACGUGUGGUCAAAAGCGAGAGUACCCGAAGAAAAAGCAUCGGCUAACUCCGUGCCAGCAGCCGCGGUAAUACGUAGGGGGCAAGCGUUAUCCGGAUUCAUUGGGCGUAAAGCGCGCGCAGGCGGGCCGCUAAGCGGGACCU
rnacentral:rRNA from 1 species